ACAUCAACCACAACACCAACCACAACACCAACCAUUACAACCUCUACAACUCCUACAACGGAAGGCGUGGUAUUACUGGCACUCCAGAUGAAGAUAACUACCCUUGGAGAAGUCAGCAAUGGAACUAUCACUGAGCUUGUUGAACAGUUUCUUGGAGAACAGCUUCUGAAUGGAACAGCUCACACAGCCACUGUGACAAUUCGAAGGGUUUAAGUUGGUCGGAGAAGCUGAAUAUAUAAAAAUGGCAAUUCAAGCAUGCACUGCUGGAGGUAUAGUUUCAACAUCAUCAGAAGCAGAAGUUGAGCUCAGUUGUUUUAUCAUAUCUGGAUAUACUUUUCUACAGUUUGAGUAUCCUAUAAAAUGUGAUUGUUCUCCACUGUGCUGCAGUGGUUUUAUCAUUUAUCAAAUCAAAUAUUUGCAGUCCCAUGCUGCUGGCUAGAGGGGAAUUUUGGGUUGAUCCAUGUUGUACAGAAAUGAUAAAGAACAAGGAAGUUCAGACCAAGCAAUCUGAUCUGUUAAAGAGACUCUGCAUAGACUCGGCUCUGCAUUAAGUGCUAAUAUGUAACUGUGAAGAAUAGUAAAAGCUUUCCGUCCAAGCUUUUCCAUUUGUUUGGUGUUUUUUUUUUCCUUUUAAAGGCUACUUUUUAAUUUGGCUUCUUAUUUUUGCUGGCUCACUUCUUCCAGCGCAAUGUUUUGUCCUCUGCACUGCAUCAUUAUGCAGUGUUACAUCUCACCUUGCAACACUGAUUAAAACACUUUUCAAAUCAUGUUUGUAGAUUCAUCCCAUUGUUCUGAUGUUCACCCAUCAAGUAGGCACGUAAAACAUCCGUAAAAGAGAGCUUCAGUGCAGUUUAACACUGGAGUUGUAACACACGAUUAUCAGUUCUGUUAUAUUGCACAAUUUGUGAAGAUGAAUAAAGAGAAGCAUCUGUCAGAA